rnacentral:rRNA from 1 species
UACGGAGGGUGCAAGCGUUGUCCGGAAUCACUGGGCGUAAAGGGCGCGUAGGCGGCUCAUGAAGGCUGUGGUGAAAGUCCGGGGCUCAACCUCGGAUCGGCCGUGGCGACUCGUGGGCUGGAGCACUGUAGAGGCGGGUGGAAUUCCGGGUGUAGCGGUGGAAUGCGUAGAGAUCCGGAAGAACACCAGUGGCGAAGGCGGCCCGCUGGGCAGUGGCUGACGCUGAGGCGCGCCAGCGUGGGGAGCAAACAGG